rnacentral:lncRNA from 1 species
UCCGAGUCUCCUCCGAGCCCCUCCUCUUCCCCGUGCCGCCGGCCUCCUCCUUUGCGUAUCUCCUCGCCGGUCGUCGCUGCAAGUCUGCGCCUCCCCACGGCCCAGACAGCAAGGCGGGCGGGCGGCGCCGCGAGGUCUCGUCCCGAGGAAGCCGCAGUAGGACGAGAACAAUCCGGACGAGGUCGAUGAGGUCGUGGGCGCCUCCUCCGCUCCGGGAUCGAACGGGCUGGUGGACAGCUGCGCGACUCUACGCCCUCCUCGACCGAGAGCCGCCGCCGUCAACAUUGUGCAGGUAGCUCCUUUCCUUUCUCUUCCCUUGUAUGUCUCUCCCUUUGUCUCUUCUUCUCUGGCCAUGAACUUCUCUGAAUGUCUGCCUUGGUUCUGGCUAGUGCUUAAUUUGUUUUUCACGUAUUCAUGACUGAAGAAGCCUGCAUACUCAUGUUUCUGAUUUUGUGUUCUGGUCCUUUCUCUGUCAUUCAUUUUGAACAUGUAUAUGAAGUACUAGCUAGAUGUAUUAAUAGAUAUAUGUUGGACCUAUGAUUUUGUAUUACCUGGAUGGAGAUUCUUCAGCAUGUGUCACUCGUCAGAUAUUGCCAAUGCAGCAUGUGGAUGGCAAACAUUCAUCUGAUCUUGCCAAUCAUCAAAUAUUUCAGAGUUCCCUGGCUAGUUGUUGCAGUCACAGAAAAUGCUUUAUGUUAGGGCUGAACUGAAGUUCAUUCUUUGUUGCCAUGUGUCACUGAAACUUAGCAGCAACCAUGGAGCAAGCUGCUCAAUUGAACUCAUUAUAUGCAUUUGCUAGGCCUCAUCCUUUAGGAUCUGCGUGAAGAAACAGUACCUGAAAGAAACAUGCCAAUUUGACUAUGUAUGUGUCCUCUUAUUUAUUUAUUUAGUGCCUCAACUGUUCGUACAUCCUUGAAGAUGUAUGUAUUGUUCUUGACUAUUAUAUGUUCCCUUCCUUAGUUAAACUGAAUAUCAAUGCAAAAAAAAGUUAAAAUGAAUAUACAGGCAUGAUUUUUGAAAAUUCUGUCCUGAUCGAACUCUAUGCCUGUACAAUAUUACACAGGCGCGGUUGUAGUGGCCGGACAAGACGAAGAGAAGCUGCAGCGGCCGGCUGCAGGGUGGCCUCGCCGGAAGAGAGCGCCGAUGGCCGUGGACGACACAGAGCCCUCUUCUUCGCCAGCACUAGCGGCGUCAGGGGCGGUGAAGGCCAGUAGCUCUAUCAUGGCUUGCAAGAGGAACGACAGAAAAAUCCUAUUUCAUUGAUAGUUAUAGUUGGCAGUCCAGUGAUUCCAGUUUAUUUCUCUGAUUUAAUGCAGGUAGGGCUGCAAACGAGUUGAGCUUGAGCGAGUUGGAGUUUGCUCAGCUCAACUCAUAUGAAAAUUCGAGCGAGCUCAAACUGAAUGAAGCUCAUGAUCGAGCUGUAGAACAUGACUCGUGCUUAGCUUGUAACGAUCUCGAGCUAGUUUCGAGAUAAAUGAGAUGGUAAAAAAGUUAUAAAUCUAUGGAUGAAAAACAAAAAAAAUAAGGUGAAUAUGAUGGGAACCUUUGCCAAAAAUAUAGGAUAUUUAAAAUAUAGUCGACCACGUGUCAUA